rnacentral:siRNA from 1 species
CAAGGCGAUGAUGACGACCG